rnacentral:rRNA from 1 species
UAGGGAAUAUUGGACAAUGGGUGAGAGCCUGAUCCAGCCAUGCCGCGUGCAGGAAGAAGGCGUUAUGCGUUGUAAACUGCUUUUUGCCAGGGGAUAAAAAGACCGUGCGCGGUUAAUUGAAGGUACCUGGUGAAUAAGCCACGGCUAACUACGUGCCAGCAGCCGCGGUAAUACGUAGGUGGCAAGCGUUGUCCGGAUUUAUUGGGUUUAAAGGGUGCGUAGGUGGCCCUGUAAGUCAGUGGUGAAAUAUCUCAGCUUAACUGAGAGGGUGCCAUUGAUACUGCAAGGCUUGAGUACAGAUGAGGUAGGCGGAAUUGACGGUGUAGCGGUGAAAUGCAUAGAUAUCGUCAAGAACACCGAUAGCGAAGGCAGCUUACCAAGCUGUAACUGACACUGAGGCACGAAAGUGUGGGGAUCAAACAGGAUUAGAUACCCUUGUAGUCCCUGAGCGGGCUGGCAAGGCGCAU